rnacentral:rRNA from 1 species
CCUACGGGUGGCAGCAGUGAGGAAUAUUGGUCAAUGGACGAGAGUCUGAACCAGCCAAGUAGCGUGAAGGAUGACUGCCCUAUGGGUUGUAAACUUCUUUUAUAUGGGAAUAAAAUGUUCCACGUGUGGGAUUUUGUAUGUACCAUAUGAAUAAGGAUCGGCUAACUCCGUGCCAGCAGCCGCGGUAAUACGGAGGAUCCGAGCGUUAUCCGGAUUUAUUGGGUUUAAAGGGAGCGUCGUUGGAUUGUUAAGUCAGUUGUGAAAGUUUGCGGCUCAACCGUAAAAUUGCAGUUGAAACUGGCAGUCUUGAGUACAGUAGAGGUGGGCGGAAUUCGUGGUGUAGCGGUGAAAUGCUUAGAUAUCACGAAGAACUCCGAUUGCGAAGGCAGUUCACUGGACUGCAACUGACACUGAGGCUCGAAAGUGUGGGUAUCAAACAGGAUUAGAUACCCUGGUAGUC